rnacentral:rRNA from 1 species
GGUUAAGCGACUAAGCGUACACGGUGGAUGCCCUGGCAGUCAGAGGCGAUGAAGGACGUGCUAAUCUGCGAAAAGCGCCGGCGAGGUGAUAUGAACCUUUGACCCGGCGAUGUCCGAAUGGGGAAACCCAGUGUGUUCCGACACACUAUCGUUAACUGAAUACAUAGGUUAACGAGGCGAACCGGGGGAACUGAAACAUCUAAGUACCCCGAGGAAAAGAAAUCAACCGAGAUUCCCCCAGUAGCGGCGAGCGAACGGGGAGCAGCCCAGAGUCUGAAUCAGCUUGUGUGUUAGUGGAAGCGUCUGGAAAGUCGCACGGUACAGGGUGACAGUCCCGUACACGAAAGCACACAGGCUGUGAACUCGAAGAGUAGGGCGGGACACGUGGUAUCCUGUCUGAAUAUGGGGGGACCAUCCUCCAAGGCUAAAUACUCCUGACUGACCGAUAGUGAACCAGUACCGUGAGGGAAAGGCGAAAAGAACCCCGGCGAGGGGAGUGAAAAAGAACCUGAAACCGUGUACGUACAAGCAGUGGGAGCCUCUUUUAUGGGGUGACUGCGUACCUUUUGUAUAAUGGGUCAGCGACUUAUAUUCUGUAGCAAGGUUAACCGUAUAGGGGAGCCGAAGGGAAACCGAGUCUUAACUGGGCGUUAAGUUGCAGGGUAUAGACCCGAAACCCGGUGAUCUAGCCAUGGGCAGGUUGAAGGUUGGGUAACACUAACUGGAGGACCGAACCGACUAAUGUUGAAAAAUUAGCGGAUGACUUGUGGCUGGGGGUGAAAGGCCAAUCAAACCGGGAGAUAGCUGGUUCUCCCCGAAAGCUAUUUAGGUAGCGCCUCGUGAAUUCAUCUUCGGGGGUAGAGCACUGUUUCGGCUAGGGGGCCAUCCCGGCUUACCAACCCGAUGCAAACUACGAAUACCGAAGAAUGUUAUCACGGGAGACACACGGCGGGUGCUAACGUCCGUCGUGAAGAGGGAAACAACCCAGACCGCCAGCUAAGGUCCCAAAGUCAUGGUUAAGUGGGAAACGAUGUGGGAAGGCACAGACAGCCAGGAUGUUGGCUUAGAAGCAGCCAUCAUUUAAAGAAAGCGUAAUAGCUCACUGGUCGAGUCGGCCUGCGCGGAAGAUGUAACGGGGCUAAACCAUGCACCGAAGCUGCGGCAGCGACACUAUGUGUUGUUGGGUAGGGGAGCGUUCUGUAAGCCGUUGAAGGUGUCCUGUGAGGGGUGCUGGAGGUAUCAGAAGUGCGAAUGCUGACAUAAGUAACGAUAAAGCGGGUGAAAAGCCCGCUCGCCGGAAGACCAAGGGUUCCUGUCCAACGUUAAUCGGGGCAGGGUGAGUCGACCCCUAAGGCGAGGCCGAAAGGCGUAGUCGAUGGGAAACAGGUUAAUAUUCCUGUACUUGGUGUUACUGCGAAGGGGGGACGGAGAAGGCUAUGUUAGCCGGGCGACGGUUGUCCCGGUUUAAGCAUGUAGGCGGAGGUUCCAGGUAAAUCCGGUACCUUAUUAACGCUGAGGUGUGAUGACGAGGCACUACGGUGCUGAAGUAACAAAUGCCCUGCUUCCAGGAAAAGCCUCUAAGCAUCAGGUAACAUCAAAUCGUACCCCAAACCGACACAGGUGGUCAGGUAGAGAAUACCAAGGCGCUUGAGAGAACUCGGGUGAAGGAACUAGGCAAAAUGGUGCCGUAACUUCGGGAGAAGGCACGCUGAUAUGUAGGUGAAGCCCCUGCGGGUGGAGCUGAAAUCAGUCGAAGAUACCAGCUGGCUGCAACUGUUUAUUAAAAACACAGCACUGUGCAAACACGAAAGUGGACGUAUACGGUGUGACGCCUGCCCGGUGCCGGAAGGUUAAUUGAUGGGGUUAGCGGUAACGCGAAGCUCUUGAUCGAAGCCCCGGUAAACGGCGGCCGUAACUAUAACGGUCCUAAGGUAGCGAAAUUCCUUGUCGGGUAAGUUCCGACCUGCACGAAUGGCGUAAUGAUGGCCAGGCUGUCUCCACCCGAGACUCAGUGAAAUUGAACUCGCUGUGAAGAUGCAGUGUACCCGCGGCAAGACGGAAAGACCCCGUGAACCUUUACUAUAGCUUGACACUGAACACUGGUCCUUGAUGUGUAGGAUAGGUGGGAGGCUUUGAAGCGUGGACGCCAGUCUGCGUGGAGCCAACCUUGAAAUACCACCCUUUAAUGGCUGGUGUUCUAACGUAGACCCGUGAUCCGGGUUGCGGACAGUGUCUGGUGGGUAGUUUGACUGGGGCGGUCUCCUCCCAAAGAGUAACGGAGGAGCACGAAGGUUAGCUAAUCCUGGUCGGACAUCAGGAGGUUAGUGCAAUGGCAUAAGCUAGCUUGACUGCGAGAGUGACGGCUCGAGCAGGUGCGAAAGCAGGUCAUAGUGAUCCGGUGGUUCUGAAUGGAAGGGCCAUCGCUCAACGGAUAAAAGGUACUCCGGGGAUAACAGGCUGAUACCGCCCAAGAGUUCAUAUCGACGGCGGUGUUUGGCACCUCGAUGUCGGCUCAUCACAUCCUGGGGCUGAAGUAGGUCCCAAGGGUAUGGCUGUUCGCCAUUUAAAGUGGUACGCGAGCUGGGUUUAGAACGUCGUGAGACAGUUCGGUCCCUAUCUGCCGUGGGCGCUGGAGAAUUGAGGGGGCUGCUCCUAGUACGAGAGGACCGGAGUGGACGCAUCACUGGUGUUCGGGUUGUCAUGCCAAUGGCACUGCCCGGUAGCUAAAUGCGGAAGAGAUAAGUGCUGAAAGCAUCUAAGCACGAAACUUGCCCCGAGAUGAGUUCUCCCUGAGACUUUAAGUCUCCUGAAGGAACGUUGAAGACUACGACGUUGAUAGGUCGGGUGUGUAAGCGCAGCGAUGCGUUGAGCUAACCGAUACUAAUGAACCGUGAGGCUUAACCUU